ACAAUUGUGUAGCUUUUAUAUCUUAGUUUUCUUUCAUUUUUCUCAGUAUUGGCACUUUAGUACAUAUUUUAAAAAAUUCUGCGGCAGCGGAGCACUGUACUAAAGAUGGUCUGGUGUUUUGAAAAUUUUUUUUGUUAAUCAAAAAGUAGCUUCUGUGUGAUUUUUGGGGAAUAUUUAUUUGCUAAAAAAUCUGAAAACUUUCUUUUAAAAGCUUCAUAUUUUGUUUUAAGUCAAUCUGAUAAAAAAAAAGUUUUAUGACCAAAAAUUUCAGAUUAAGAAAAUUAUUUAAAAAAAGCCCUUUAAAACUCCGCAAGACUACAUUUUUAACAAUUUUACUGCACUCGGAAUAGUGAAAAAUACAC
ensembl:ncRNA C16B8.5 ncRNA